rnacentral:lncRNA from 1 species
AGCAAUGAGUCACUUGACAUGUUGUUGUAUAGGUUCGUUUUAAAACAAAAAUGGCCGCCACGCCUAAUAGCUUAAGGAGCCUUAUAAGCCAUUGGAUUGUAGCCCCGAGGAAGCCUAAAGUGCCCCCCUAGGAGCUGAUCGAGAAAACAAGCGGAUUUAUCAAUGGGGCCUGAUGGAGUCAUGUGAACUCAUUCAUCAUCAUUUUAAUCAAUAAGAAAACCGAAGGCCCAGUCAUCUGCAAACUGCCCCCUUGCUGUCCAGAAUUGGCCCCUAGUGACUUCUUGAAACAAAACAAAAGCAGAGUCUCCGAGGAACCUCUGAAGAAAACCGAAGGCCCAGUCAUCUGCAAACUGCCCCCUUGCUGUCCAGAAUUAGCCCCCAGUGACUUCUUGAAAUAAAACAAAAGCAGAGUCUCCGAGGAACCUCUGAAGAAAACCGAAGGUCCAGUCGUCUGCAAACUGCCCCCUUGCUGUCCAGAAUUAGCCCCUAGUGACUUCUUGAAACAAAACAAAGAGUCUCCGAGGAACCUCUGGUGAGUUGAUUAUGGAAAAUUGUUUUUCUUCAAGCAUUAUUGGCAUUAAAGCACAAAAAAUUAAUCAUGUCUACACUCAAAUAUAAAAGAUUGGCCUAGCACCAAGCUUUAUACAUCAAAUAUAAAGGGUUACAGGAUAUUUUAGCAUAAUACAACAUUUGUUAAAAAUAUCACAAAAGCACAACACUAAAAAAAGCACAAAAACUAGCACUACACUAACAAAAAGAUAGCAGCAAAUUUGCGAGGGAGUGUUAUAGGGUAAAGGCACUAAGUACUUUCGAAUUCCCUGUAUAUCUCCUUAAGAGGAAAUAUACAUAAAACGUGUCACCAAUAUAUGCACCAAAUACUUUUAACCUCUAUAUAAAUAAAUAUUAGCAAAUUUCAAUAAAGCAUGCACAAAAAUCCAAAUUAACAAAACCCCACUAACCUCUAUAGCCUCUAAGAGGCUUCUUCUCAUCUUUUUCUUAUGUCCUCUCCUCUGGGCACUGAUUACCACCCGAGAGGGAGUCUACUUGCUUAUAUCUGAAAGAAAAGAAUAAACAUAUUUGAGAAACCAGUAAAUCCAAGGGAUUUAACAAAUUUCCAAGGAAAAUCAAUAAGAAACUAUUUGAAUGAAAAUCCAAUAAUGAAAUCGAUAUUUUAUAAGGGAGACUAAUGGCGGCCAUUUUGUCCCUGCUUGACGUCACCCAAACGAGUCCAAUGACCCUUGAAAAGUGAAAAUCUUUUCACACAAAUUUCCAUUAAAAAAAAUUGUCCCCACUAUUGAAUUAUACACCAAAAUGAAGCCCUCGAUGCAUAGAACACGAUUCAAGUACUUUUUCUUAUGCAACUCAAGAAUUAUCCCUGUUUUCACGAAAAAACCACUCUGGACCAAACAACAAAGGACCCUGCAGAAAACGAUCAUCUUACCUGACGAUUUACCGUCGAAAAAACGGGUGCACACUAUUAAAAAUUACAUCAAAAUGAAGCUCUCGGUUUAGAGAACACUUUUCACAUGUUUUUUAUCAUUAAUUUCCACUUUUCCCGAUUUCCUGGACGAUUUUCCGGGAGCUCCCCCCAAUUCCGGCACUCAGUGACGCCAUAACUGGCGACACUGCGCAUGCUCAUUGGAGCCGAACCAACUUGCACCAAUAUCCCCGAAAUUUCAAAAUAAUGACUUAAAUCGUCUAAUUCGGCCCCAAAAAGGCCGAUCUAGACGAUUCUUUCGUUGAAAUCGAUCGAGGAGGAUCCUCAGGUUUUCUGUGCAGUUUUUUUUUUUGUGUUUUAUACGUUUCAAGCUCCCAUAAAAUGUAUUUUAUGGUUAUGGUUAUGGCUCUCAAUUCUAGGCUCAAUUAAAGUUUCUGCCAUGAUUCUGCUUAAGCCAUAUAACUAAAGUUAAAGCUUUAUACACGAAUUUAAAGCUGGUUUCAUCCACUCUAAGAAUAUAUUUGACGCUUGACCCCUUUACGCAACAAAAGGUGAAAUUUUUACAAGUUUUGUGUUUAUUUCCAUCACCCGAGACCCUACCAUACCUACAGGUCAAAAAAUCUUCACUUCUAAUUGACAGAUUUGCUUGAUUUUUGGUCAUGAAAGCUUUAGAAGAUUGUUCUGUAACUUUGAGACAUAAAUCACUGAAGUUGGUUUAGCAGAACUCGUUUUAUACCCAAAUUUGUUGGAAUCUGUUAGUUGAAGCCCCAUUUAUGUAUAAGUUGGAAUAUCUUCUCUUCUUAUCAACAUAUUUUCUUGAUUUUGGUCUUAAAAGCUUUAAAUUAACGCUCUGCAACUUUUAAGACAUAAACCAUUAAAAUUGGUACCGUAGAACUGCUUUUGGCUCCAGACUUGUAAAAAUCCCAUACCCCCAAGUCAUUUUUUCGUAAAAUGUUCAAUAUCUUCUCUUCCUAUAAAUGGAUAUACUUGAUUUUGGUCUUAAAAGCUUUGAAUUAACGCUCUGCAACUUUUAAGACAUCAACCAUUAAAAUUGGUACCGUAGAACUGCUUUUGGCUCCAGACUUGUAAAAAUCCCAUACCCCCAAGUCAUUUUUUCGUAAAAUGUUCAAUAUCUUCUCUUCCUAUAAACGGAUAUACUUGAUUUUGGUCUUAAAAGCUUUGAAUUAACGCUCUGCAACUUUUAAGACAUCAACCAUUAAAAUUGGUACGGUAGAACUGCUUUUGGCUACAGACUUGUAAAAAUCCCAUACCCCCAAGUCAUAUUUUUGUAAGUUGUUCAAUAUCUUCUCUUCCCAUCGACAGAUUUUCUUGAUUUUGGUCUUAAAAGCUUUGAAUUAACGCUCUGCAACUUUUAAGACAUAAACCAUUAAAAUUGGUACGGUAGAACUGCUUUUGGCUACAGACUUGUAAAAAUCCCAUACCCCAAGUCAUAUUUUUGUAAGUUGUUCAAUAUCUUCUCUUCCUAUCGACAGAUUUUCUUGAUUUUAGUCUUAAAAGCUUUGUAUUAACGCCCUGCAACUUUUAAGACAUAAACCAUUAAAAUUGGUACCAUAGAACUGCUUUUGGCGACAGACAUGUAAAAAUCCCAUACCCCCAAGUCAUAUUUUUGUAAGUUGUUCAAUAUCUUCUCUUCCUAUCGACAGAUUUUUUUGAUUUUGGUCUUAAAAGCUUUGUAUUAACGCCCUGCAACUUUUAAGACAUAAACCAUUAAAAUUGGUACGGUAGAACUGCUUUUGGCUACAGACUUGUAAAAAUCCCAUACCCCAAGUCAUAUUUUUGUAAGUUGUUCAAUAUCUUCUCUUCCUAUCGACAGAUUUUCUUGAUUUUGGUCUUAAAAGCUUUAUAUUAACGCCCUGCAACUUUUAAGACAUAAACCAUUAAAAUUGGUACCAUAGAACUGCUUUUGGCGACAGACAUGUAAAAAUCCCAUACCCCCAAGUUAUUUUUGUAAGUUGUUCAAUAUCUUCUCUUCCUAUCGACAGAUUUUCUUGAUUUUGGUCUUAAAAGCUUUGUAUUAACGCUCUGCAACUUUUAAGACAUAAACCAUUAAAAUUGGUACCAUAGAACUGCUUUUGGCGACAGACAUGUAAAAAUCCCAUACCCCCAAGUCAUAUUUUUGUAAGUUGUUCAAUAUCUUCUCUUCCUAUCGACAGAUUUUCUUGAUUUUGGUCUUAAAAGCUUUGUAUUAACGCUCUGCAACUUUUAAGACAUAAACCAUUAAAAUUGGUACCAUAGAACUGCUUUUGGUGACAGACAUGUAAAAAUCCCAUACCCCAAGUCAUAUUUUUGUAAGUUGUUCAAUAUCUUCUCUUCCUAUCGACAGAUUUUCUUGAUUUUGGUCUUAAAAGCUUUGUAUUAACGCCCUGCAACUUUUAAGACAUAAACCAUUAAAAUUGGUACGGUAGAACUGCUUUUGGCGACAGACAUGUAAAAAUCCCAUACCCCCAAGUCAUAUUUUUGUAAGUUGUUCAAUAUCUUCUCUUCCUAUCGACAGAUUUUCUUGAUUUUGGUCUUAAAAGCUUUGUAUUAACGCCCUGCAACUUUUAAGACAUAAACCAUUAAAAUUGGUACGGUAGAACUGCUUUUGGCUACAGACUUGUAAAAAUCCCAUACCCCAAGUCAUAUUUUUGUAAGUUGUUCAAUAUCUUCUCUUCCUAUCGACAGAUUUUCUUGAUUUUGGUCUUAAAAGCUUUGUAUUAACGCCCUGCAACUUUUAAGACAUAAACCAUUAAAAUUGGUACGGUAGAACUGCUUUUGGCUACAGACUUGUAAAAAUCCCAUACCCCAAGUCAUAUUUUUGUAAGUUGUUCAAUAUCUUCUCUUCCUAUCGACAGAUUUUCUUGAUUUUGGUCUUAAAAGCUUUGUAUUAACGCUCUGCAACUUUUAAGACAUAAACCAUUAAAAUUGGUACGGUAGAACUGCUUUUGGCUACAGACUUGUAAAAAUCCCAUACCCCAAGUCAUAUUUUUGUAAGUUGUUCAAUAUCUUCUCUUCCUAUCGACAGAUUUUCUUGAUUUUGGUCUUAAAAGCUUUGUAUUAACGCCCUGCAACUUUUAAGACAUAAACCAUUAAAAUUGGUACCAUAGAACUGCUUUUGGCUACAGACUUGUAAAAAUCCCAUACCCCAAGUCAUAUUUUUGUAAGUUGUUCAAUAUCUGCUCUUCCUAUGGACAGAUUUUCUUGAUUUUGGUCUUAAAAGCUUUGUAUUAACGCCCUGCAACUUUUAAGACAUAAACCAUUAAAAUUGGUACGGUAGAACUGCUUUUGGCGACAGACAUGUAAAAAUCCCAUACCCCCAAGUCAUAUUUUUGUAAGUUGUUCAAUAUCUUCUCUUCCUAUCGACAGAUUUUCUUGAUUUUGGUCUUAAAAGCUUUGUAUUAACGCCCUGCAACUUUUAAGACAUAAACCAUUAAAAUUGGUACGGUAGAACUGCUUUUGGCUACAGACUUGUAAAAAUCCCAUACCCCAAGUCAUAUUUUUGUAAGUUGUUCAAUAUCUUCUCUUCCUAUCGACAGAUUUUCUUGAUUUUGGUCUUAAAAGCUUUGUAUUAACGCCCUGCAACUUUUAAGACAUAAACCAUUAAAAUUGGUACCAUAGAACUGCUUUUGGCGACAGACAUGUAAAAAUCCCAUACCCCCAAGUCAUAUUUUUGUAAGUUGUUCAAUAUCUUCUUCUCCUAUCGACAGAUUUUCUUGAUUUUGGUCUUAAAAGCUUUGUAUUAACGCCCUGCAACUUUUAAGACAUAAACCAUUAAAAUUGGUACCAUAGAACUGCUUUUGGCGACAGACAUGUAAAAAUCCCAUACCCCCAAGUCAUAUUUUUGUAAGUUGUUUAAUAUCUUCUCUUACUAUCCACAGAUUUUCUUGAUUUUGGUCUUAAAAGCUUUGUAUUAACGCUCUGCAACUUUUAAGACAUAAACCAUUAAAAUUGGUACGGUAGAACUGCUUUUGGCUACAGACUUGUAAAAAUCCCAUACCCCAAGUCAUAUUUUUGUAAGUUGUUUAAUAUCUUCUCUUACUAUCCACAGAUUUUCUUGAUUUUGGUCUUAAAAGCUUUGUAUUAACGCCCUGCAACUUUUAAGACAUAAACCAUUAAAAUUGGUACCAUAGAACUGCUUUUGGCUACAGACUUGUAAAAAUCCCAUACCCCAAGUCAUAUUUUUGUAAGUUGUUUAAUAUCUUCUCUUACUAUCCACAGAUUUUCUUGAUUUUGGUCUUAAAAGCUUUGUAUUAACGCUCUGCAACUUUUAAGACAUAAACCAUUAAAAUUGGUACGGUAGAACUGCUUUUGGCUCCAGACUUGUAAAAAUCCCAUACCCCCAAGUCAUUUUUUCGUAAAAUGUGCAAUAUCUUCUCUUCCUAUAAACGGAUAUACUUGAUUUUGGUCUUAAAAGCUUUGAAUUAACGCUCUGCAACUUUUAAGACAUCAACCAUUAAAAUUGGUACCGUAGAACUGCUUUUGGCUCCAGACUUGUAAAAAUCCCAUACCCCCAAGUCAUUUUUUCGUAAAAUGUUCAAUAUCUUCUCUUCCUAUAAACGGAUAUACUUGAUUUUGGUCUUAAAAGCUUUGAAUUAACGCUCUGCAACUUUUAAGACAUCAACCAUUAAAAUUGGUACGGUAGAACUGCUUUUGGCUACAGACUUGUAAAAAUCCCAUACCCCCAAGUCAUAUUUUUGUAAGUUGUUCAAUAUCUUCUCUUCCCAUCGACAGAUUUUCUUGAUUUUGGUCUUAAAAGCUUUGAAUUAACGCUCUGCAACUUUUAAGACAUAAACCAUUAAAAUUGGUACGGUAGAACUGCUUUUGGCUACAGACUUGUAAAAAUCCCAUACCCCAAGUCAUAUUUUUGUAAGUUGUUCAAUAUCUUCUCUUCCUAUCGACAGAUUUUCUUGAUUUUAGUCUUAAAAGCUUUGUAUUAACGCCCUGCAACUUUUAAGACAUAAACCAUUAAAAUUGGUACCAUAGAACUGCUUUUGGCGACAGACAUGUAAAAAUCCCAUACCCCCAAGUCAUAUUGUUGUAAGUUGUUCAAUAUCUUCUCUUCCUAUCGACAGAUUUUUUUGAUUUUGGUCUUAAAAGCUUUGUAUUAACGCCCUGCAACUUUUAAGACAUAAACCAUUAAAAUUGGUACGGUAGAACUGCUUUUGGCUACAGACUUGUAAAAAUCCCAUACCCCAAGUCAUAUUUUUGUAAGUUGUUCAAUAUCUUCUCUUCCUAUCGACAGAUUUUCUUGAUUUUGGUCUUAAAAGCUUUAUAUUAACGCCCUGCAACUUUUAAGACAUAAACCAUUAAAAUUGGUACCAUAGAACUGCUUUUGGCGACAGACAUGUAAAAAUCCCAUACCCCCAAGUUAUUUUUGUAAGUUGUUCAAUAUCUUCUCUUCCUAUCGACAGAUUUUCUUGAUUUUGGUCUUAAAAGCUUUGUAUUAACGCUCUGCAACUUUUAAGACAUAAACCAUUAAAAUUGGUACCAUAGAACUGCUUUUGGCGACAGACAUGUAAAAAUCCCAUACCCCCAAGUCAUAUUUUUGUAAGUUGUUCAAUAUCUUCUCUUCCUAUCGACAGAUUUUCUUGAUUUUGGUCUUAAAAGCUUUGUAUUAACGCUCUGCAACUUUUAAGACAUAAACCAUUAAAAUUGGUACCAUAGAACUGCUUUUGGUGACAGACAUGUAAAAAUCCCAUACCCCAAGUCAUAUUUUUGUAAGUUGUUCAAUAUCUUCUCUUCCUAUCGACAGAUUUUCUUGAUUUUGGUCUUAAAAGCUUUGUAUUAACGCCCUGCAACUUUUAAGACAUAAACCAUUAAAAUUGGUACGGUAGAACUGCUUUUGGCGACAGACAUGUAAAAAUCCCAUACCCCCAAGUCAUAUUUUUGUAAGUUGUUCAAUAUCUUCUCUUCCUAUCGACAGAUUUUCUUGAUUUUGGUCUUAAAAGCUUUGUAUUAACGCCCUGCAACUUUUAAGACAUAAACCAUUAAAAUUGGUACGGUAGAACUGCUUUUGGCUACAGACUUGUAAAAAUCCCAUACCCCAAGUCAUAUUUUUGUAAGUUGUUCAAUAUCUUCUCUUCCUAUCGACAGAUUUUCUUGAUUUUGGUCUUAAAAGCUUUGUAUUAACGCCCUGCAACUUUUAAGACAUAAACCAUUAAAAUUGGUACGGUAGAACUGCUUUUGGCUACAGACUUGUAAAAAUCCCAUACCCCAAGUCAUAUUUUUGUAAGUUGUUCAAUAUCUUCUCUUCCUAUCGACAGAUUUUCUUGAUUUUGGUCUUAAAAGCUUUGUAUUAACGCCCUGCAACUUUUAAGACAUAAACCAUUAAAAUUGGUACCGUAGAACUGCUUUUGGCUACAGACUUGUAAAAAUCCCAUACCCCAAGUCAUAUUUUUGUAAGUUGUUCAAUAUCUUCUCUUCCUAUCGACAGAUUUUCUUGAUUUUGGUCUUAAAAGCUUUGUAUUAACGCCCUGCAACUUUUAAGACAUAAACCAUUAAAAUUGGUACCAUAGAACUGCUUUUGGCUACAGACUUGUAAAAAUCCCAUACCCCAAGUCAUAUUUUUGUAAGUUGUUCAAUAUCUGCUCUUCCUAUGGACAGAUUUUCUUGAUUUUGGUCUUAAAAGCUUUGUAUUAACGCCCUGCAACUUUUAAGACAUAAACCAUUAAAAUUGGUACGGUAGAACUGCUUUUGGCGACAGACAUGUAAAAAUCCCAUACCCCCAAGUCAUAUUUUUGUAAGUUGUUCAAUAUCUUCUCUUCCUAUCGACAGAUUUUCUUGAUUUUGGUCUUAAAAGCUUUGUAUUAACGCCCUCCAACUUUUAAGACAUAAACCAUUAAAAUUGGUACGGUAGAACUGCUUUUGGCUACAGACUUGUAAAAAUCCCAUACCCCAAGUCAUAUUUUUGUAAGUUGUUCAAUAUCUUCUCUUCCUAUCGACAGAUUUUCUUGAUUUUGGUCUUAAAAGCUUUGUAUUAACGCCCUGCAACUUUUAAGACAUAAACCAUUAAAAUUGGUACCAUAGAACUGCUUUUGGCGACAGACAUGUAAAAAUCCCAUACCCCCAAGUCAUAUUUUUGUAAGUUGUUCAAUAUCUUCUUCUCCUAUCGACAGAUUUUCUUGAUUUUGGUCUUAAAAGCUUUGUAUUAACGCCCUGCAACUUUUAAGACAUAAACCAUUAAAAUUGGUACCAUAGAACUGCUUUUGGCGACAGACAUGUAAAAAUCCCAUACCCCCAAGUCAUAUUUUUGUAAGUUGUUUAAUAUCUUCUCUUACUAUCCACAGAUUUUCUUGAUUUUGGUCUUAAAAGCUUUGUAUUAACGCUCUGCAACUUUUAAGACAUAAACCAUUAAAAUUGGUACGGUAGAACUGCUUUUGGCUACAGACUUGUAAAAAUCCCAUACCCCAAGUCAUAUUUUUGUAAGUUGUUUAAUAUCUUCUCUUACUAUCCACAGAUUUUCUUGAUUUUGGUCUUAAAAGCUUUGUAUUAACGCCCUGCAACUUUUAAGACAUAAACCAUUAAAAUUGGUACCAUAGAACUGCUUUUGGCUACAGACUUGUAAAAAUCCCAUACCCCAAGUCAUAUUUUUGUAAGUUGUUUAAUAUCUUCUCUUACUAUCCACAGAUUUUCUUGAUUUUGGUCUUAAAAGCUUUGUAUUAACGCUCUGCAACUUUUAAGACAUAAACCAUUAAAAUUGGUACGGUAGAACUGCUUUUGGCUACAGACUUGUAAAAAUCCCAUACCCCAAGUCAUAUUUUUGUAAGUUGUUCAAUAUCUUCUCUUCCUAUCGACAGAUUUUCUUGAUUUUGGUCUUAAAAGCUUUGUAUUAACGCCCUGCAACUUUUAAGACACAAACCAUUAAAAUUGGUACCAUAGAACUGCUUUUGGCGACAGACAUGUAAAAAUCCCAUACCCCCAAGUCAUAUUUUUGUAAGUUGUUCAAUAUCUUCUCUUCCUAUCGACAGAUUUUCUUGAUUUUGGUCUUAAAAGCUUUGUAUUAACGCCCUGCAACUUUUAAGACAUAAACCAUUAAAAUUGGUACGGUAGAACUGCUUUUGGCUACAGACUUGUAAAAAUCCCAUACCCCAAGUCAUAUUUUUGUAAGUUGUUCAAUAUCUUCUCUUCCUAUCGACAGAUUUUCUUGAUUUUGGUCUUAAAAGCUUUGUAUUAACGCCCUGCAACUUUUAAGACAUAAACCAUUAAAAUUGGUACGGUAGAACUGCUUUUGGCUACAGACUUGUAAAAAUCCCAUACCCCAAGUCAUAUUUUUGUAAGUUGUUCAAUAUCUUCUCUUCCUAUCGACAGAUUUUCUUGAUUUUGGUCUUAAAAGCUUUGUAUUAACGCCCUGCAACUUUUAAGACAUAAACCAUUAAAAUUGGUACGGUAGAACUGCUUUUGGCUACAGACUUGUAAAAAUCCCAUACCCCAAGUCAUAUUUUUGUAAGUUGUUCAAUAUCUUCUCUUCCUAUCGACAGAUUUUCUUGAUUUUGGUCUUAAAAGCUUUGUAUUAACGCCCUGCAACUUUUAAGACAUAAACCAUUAAAACUGGUACCAUAGAACUGCUUUUGGCGACAGACAUGUAAAAAUCCCAUACCCCCAAGUCAUAUUUUUGUAAGUUGUUCAAUAUCUUCUCUUCCUAUCGACAAAUUUUCUUGAUUUUGGUCUUAAAAGCUUUGUAUUAACGCCCUGCAACUUUUAAGACAUAAACCAUUAAAAUUGGUAGCAUAGAGCUGCUUUUGGCGACAGACAUGUAAAAAUCCCACACCCCAAGUCAUAUUUUUGUAAGUUGUUCAAUAUCUUCUCUUCCUAUGGACAGAUUUUCUUGAUUUUGGUCUUAAAAGCUUUGAAUUAACCCUCUGCAACUUUUAAGACAUAAACCAUUAAAAUUGGUACGGUAGAACUGCUUUUGGCUACAGACUUGUAAAAAUCCCAUACCCCAAGUCAUAUUUUUGUAAGUUGUUUAAUAUCUUCUCUUACUAUCCACAGAUUUUCUUGAUUUUGGUCUUAAAAGCUUUGUAUGAACGCCCUGCAACUUUUAAGACAUAAACCAUUAAAAUUGGUACGGUAGAACUGCUUUUGGCUACAGACUUGUAAAAAUCCCAUACCCCAAGUCAUAUUUUUGUAAGUUGUUCAAUAUCUUCUCUUCCUAUCGACAGAUUUUCUUGAUUUUGGUCUUAAAAGCUUUGAAUUAACGCUCUGCAACUUUUAAGACAUAAACCAUUAAAAUUGGUACGGUAGAACUGCUUUUGGCUACAGACUUGUAAAAAUCCCAUACCCCAAGUCAUAUUUUUGUAAGUUGUUCAAUAUCUUCUCUUCCUAUCGACAGAUUUUCUUGAUUUUAGUCUUAAAAGCUUUGUAUUAACGCCCUGCAACUUUUAAGACAUAAACCAUUAAAAUUGGUACCAUAGAACUGCUUUUGGCGACAGACAUGUAAAAAUCCCAUACCCCCAAGUCAUAUUUUUGUAAGUUGUUCAAUAUCUUCUCUUCCUAUCGACAGAUUUUCUUGAUUUUGGUCUUAAAAGCUUUGUAUUAACGCCCUGCAACUUUUAAGACAUAAACCAUUAAAAUUGGUACCAUAGAACUGCUUUUGGCUACAGACUUGUAAAAAUCCCAUACCCCAAGUCAUAUUUUUGUAAGUUGUUCAAUAUCUGCUCUUCCUAUCGACAGAUUUUCUUGAUUUUGGUCUUAAAAGCUUUGUAUUAAC